rnacentral:rRNA from 1 species
UACGUAGGGUGCAAGCGUUAAUCGGAAUUACUGGGCGUAAAGCGUGCGCAGGCGGUUAUGUAAGACAGAUGUGAAAUGCCCGGGCUUAACCUGGGAACUGCAUUUGUGACUGCAUGGCUAGAGUUUGGCAGAGGGGGGUAGAAUUCCACGUGUAGCAGUGAAAUGCGUAGAUAUGUGGAGGAACACCGAUGGCGAAGGCAGCCCCCCUGGGUCAAGACU